UACCAGCACCCCGAGUGGUCGGGACGUUUUAUUGGGCCUAAAGCAUCCGUAGCCGGUUCUACAAGUCUUCCGUUAAAUCCACCUGCUUAACAGAUGGGCUGCGGAAGAUACUAUAGAGCUAGGAGGCGGGAGAGGCAAGCGGUACUCGAUGGGUAAGGGGUAAAAUCCGUUGAAUCCAUUGAAGACCAGCCAGUGGCGAAGGC
rnacentral:rRNA from 1 species